CCGUCAGUCUGACAAAGGGCCGCCGGCUGGCGAGCAGUUUCUGCUACACUGUGGACGUCUGACCGGGCCAGGCGAGCUGCCUCACGGCCACGGUGACUGAUGGCAGCGAGGCCAGAGGGCUCGGAAAGCACAUCUACUUCUCUUCCAUUACCCUCCGAGGCUGUGAGAGAAGUUACUUUUCACGGAAAUAAACCUUCGUACCAACGACAAGGCAGCAUGGCUUAGCCUUUCUGCAGGUGCCCCACCACGAAAGGAUCACCACGUGAGUCUUCUUAAUGUCUGCCACCGCACAGUUCCGAGAUGGCUUUUCUCGUGAUGACAGCUUUGCUGAUCAGCUUCCAGCGAUCGGUGCAGCACAUGACACCCCAUGACUUUACAGCU